GAUUCCUGAAAGGCUGCCGCCGUCCCCUGGAAGCUGGUGGUCACAUUGUCCGGGAGCGUCUCCCGCGCCACUUGCGCAAUCUGAUCGACGGCAUCGCCGAGCGCCACGCCGGGCUUGGUAUUGAACGAGAGAGUGACUGCGGGAGUCUGCCCCAAAUGCGAGACCGAUAGCGCACAAGUA
rnacentral:rRNA from 1 species